UAAUACGUAGGUCGCAAGCGUUGUCCGGAUUUACUGGGCGUAAAGAGCGCGCAGGCGGCUGGUCAAGUCCGAUGUGAAAUCUCCCGGCUCAACUGGGAAACUGCAUCGGAAACUGAUCGGCUUGAAGGUGGGAGAGGGUAGUGGAAUUCCCGGUGUAGUGGUGAAAUGCGUAGAUAUCGGGAGGAACACCAGUGGCGAAGGCGACUACCUGGCCCAUUCUUGACGCUGAGGCGCGAAAGCUAGGGGAGCGAACGGGAUUAGAUACCCCGGUAGUCCUGGCCCUAAACGAUGAAUGCUUGGUGUGGCGGGUAUCGAUCCCUGCCGUGCCGAAGCUAACGCAUUAAGCAUUCCGCCUGGGGAGUACGGUCGCAAGGCUG
rnacentral:rRNA from 1 species